rfam:Oryza nivara chromosome 12, whole genome shotgun sequence.
AAUGUAUGACGCCGUUAAUUUUUUUGUCCAACGUUUGACCGUUCGUUUUAUUCAAAAAAUUUAUGUAAUUAUCAUUUAUUUUAUUGUGACUUGAUUUAUCAUCAAAUGUUCUUUAAGCAUGACAUAAAACAUUUUCAUAUUUUCACAAAAAAAUUGAAUAAAACGAAUGGUCAAACGUUGCUCAAAAAGUCAACGGCGUCAUGCAUU